GAUGAACGCUGGCGGCGUGCUUAACACAUGCAAGUCGAACGAAGUGGCGAACGGGUGAGUAAUACGUGAGUAACCUGCCCUCCUAUUUGGGAUAAGCCUUGGAAACGGGGUCUAAUACCGGCUAAAGGGGGAUGGGCUCGCGGCCUAGCAGCUUGUUGGUGGGGUGAUGGCCUACCACGGCGGUGACGGGUAGCCGGCCGGGGAGGGUGGUCGGGCCAGUUGGGAGUGGGAGACGGCAAAGACUCUGACGGGAGGGAGCAGUGGGGGGUAUUGCACAAUGUGCGCAAGCCGGAUGCAGAGACGCCGCGUGAGGGAUGAAGGCUUUCGAGUUGUAAACCUCUUACGGUACAGAACGGGUAUGUGCAGAAGAAACGCCGGCUAACUACGUGCCAGCCGCCGCGGUAAUAC
rnacentral:rRNA from 1 species